rnacentral:rRNA from 1 species
UACAGAGGUCCCAAGCGUUGUUCGGAUUUAUUGGGCGUAAAGGGUGCGUAGGCGGCGGAGUAAGUUGGGUGUGAAAUCCCGGGGCUUAACCUCGGAAUUGCAUUCAAUACUUCUUCGCUCGAGUACUGGAGAGGAGGCUGGAAUUUACGGUGUAGCAGUGAAAUGCGUAGAUAUCAGGAGGAACACCGGUGGCGAAGGCGGGUCUCUGGGCCGAUACUGACGCUGAGGAGCGAAAGCGUGGGGAGCGAACAGG